rnacentral:tRNA from 1 species
GGUACGGUGGUCUAGCGGUUAGAACGCUGGCCUUGUAAUCCUGGGGUCUCGGGUUCGAUUCCCGGAGGUGCCC